AACAGGGAUAAAUCCAGGGAUUGUGUAUUGUGUACAUACAUUUAUAAUUAAUCAUUUUCAUUUUUAUUCUUAUUUCAGGUGAUCCGACAGACGACUUCUCUAUACAUUAUAUAUAUGUUAUAUGUUGUCAAUCCAGUUGCAUCUUGUCUUGGCCUUAACUGUUCAGUUCUGUGUUACAGGGCUGGUUCAUUGUGUAUUUAAGGGUAUCUGGGUCGAUCUACUUUUAUGUCAUUGUCUUUAGUUGUUUUAACAAUAGCCCAGGCUCAGCUUCUCAGUUGAUUGGUGUAAGUUCAAAUAUACUUCUCACCGCCAUGUUACUAAUCAGUUUUGCACCACACUGUGUCUACAUGAGGACUGUUUUAAAGAUUGAGUUUUGAUCUAAGGUUAGUAAUUAUACUGUUUGUAAUAUAUACAUAGCUAAUUAAACCCUAAUAUAAAUAAUUGUAUAACAUAGGCACAAAUAUGUUCAAGAUAAAUCAAAUGUAAAUAUUUACACAGUAUGCUAUUUUACCUGUAUGAAUGUGCGUAUGGUUGGUUUUUGCUAUAUGUUUAUGUUGGCUUGUAGUUCUUGUUUUACAAAUGCUGUAUAUGAUGUAAGAUUGAUCUGUUUCAUCAAUUCUGUAUCUUGUUUGUAACUCCAUAGUGGUAGUUUCAAGUAUGUAUAUAUGUUGGUAUAAUGGUAUUAUUUUAUGUGUUGUCUCAUGGACAAUACCUCUCAUCAGUGUAUCCUGUUUUAUGUAGGAUUAUUGCACGUGUUGGCUGCCCGGCUGCUGGGUGCUUGAGCACACUCCCGUGUCACCCACAGGAGUGUCUACUCCUACUACUUCUUCCACUACGGAAUAAAAGAUAUUGACCUCA